rnacentral:lncRNA from 1 species
AAUUAUGGAUUUUGAUAUGACCCAUGGAUAGGUAAAGGUAAAGGUUGUCCCCUGACAUUAAGUCUAGUUGUAUCUGACUCUGGAGGUUGGUGCUCAUUUCCAUUUCAAAGCCAGCAUUGUCCAUAGACAUCUCCUAGGUCAUGUGGCCAGCAUGACUGCAUAGAGCACCGUUACCUUCCCAACAGAGUGAUACCUAUUGAUCUACAGUGUUCCCUCACUUAUCACACGGUUUAUGUUCCAGGACCACCCACAAUAAGUCCGAACUUACUUGUCCAAAUGUGUCUCCCGCUAUGACUCACCACGUAAUUUAAGAUCCUUAGGGGAAGCCCUGCUUUCGGUCCCACCAACCUCACAGGUGAGGCUGGCAGGGAUGAGAGACAGGGCCUUUUCAGUAGUGGCCCCCCAAGUGUUAAAGAAUUAAGACUUGGUUGUUGGACCAGGCUUUUGAAUAAUAGUGUAGAGAUACAGUUGUCCUAUUACUAGCUAAUAUACAGGAUAGAACAAUGGUAACAAAUUAUAAUCAUUACAGGCGCAUGAGUAAUGCACAAAUGAAAACUGUUUACAACAUUACAUCAAAUAUUAUAUUCAUGCUUGUAUGUUUUUUCAGUAGGGACACUAUAUUUAUUUUAAUAUUUAUACUUUAUUUUAGCAGUUACAAUAUACAGUAUACCGGCAGAGAAGAAGAAAGGAAGCUGAAUAACCCUUUUUUUAAUUUCCAACCCCCAGUGGCGUAGUGGGUUAAAACCUUGUGACUUGAAGGUUGGGCUGCUGACCUGAAAGCUGCCAGGUUCGAAUCCAACCUGGGGAGAGCGCGGAUGAGCUCCCUCUAUCAGCACCAGCUCCAUGUGGGGACAUGAGAGAAGCCUCCCACAAGGAUGGUAAAAACAUCAAACAUCCGGGCGUCCCCUGGGCAACGUCCUUGUAGAAGGCCAAUUCUCACACCAGAAGAGACUUGCAGUUUCUCAAGUCCAACCCUUCCCUACCCUUCCCCUCUCUUAUCUCUCCCUUUCCCCUGCUUCCAGGAGAGGAGAAAAGAGGAGGAGAGCCAGGAGAGGCACCUGGGAGGCUUGAGCCCAUAUCGGCCCUUCGCAGAGUCCUGCAGGCCUGGUGAGGGCUACCCAGGCGUCAAGGUUUUAGGAUCUCAACAGUUCCUUUGCGACGGGGUCGCCUUCUGCGCCAUCCUCCACCGCCACCGGCCCGACUUGCUGUCCCUGUGGCAUAGACACCGAGAACUGGGAAGCCUUGGCCCUUGAGAGCUCUAACUGGAGGUCAGCUGUGACCAGCAGUGCUGCAGAAUUUGAAGUGGCAAGAAUGGAGGGCUUAAAGGAGAAACGUGCCAAUAGGAAGGCGUGUCAAGCCAGCCCUGACCUGGACCACCUUCCACCUGGAAACCGAUGUCCUAACUUCGGAAGAGCAUGUGGGUAAGAAUAAGUCUCCACAGCCACCUACGCAUCCACCACCAAGACACUACACUUGGAGGGCCAUCAUCCUUGGAGAUAAGCACCACUCCCAUAAUUGGACAUGACUAGAGAUAACCU